rnacentral:rRNA from 1 species
AUGGCGACCGGCGCGACGGGUGCGUAACGCGUAUGCAACCUACCUGUAACAGGGGGAUAACACUGAGAAAUCGGUACUAAUACCGCAUAACACUAUGAGAGGCAUCUCUUGUGGUUGAAAGUUUCGGCGGUUACAGAUGGGCAUGCGUUGUAUUAGCUGGUUGGUAAGGUAACGGCUUACCAAGGCGACGAUACAUAGGGGGACUGAGAGGUUAACCCCCCACAUUGGUACUGAGACACGGACCAAACUCCUACGGGAGGCAGCAG